rnacentral:rRNA from 1 species
GACGUAGGGCGCAAGCGUUGUCCGGAUUUAUUGGGCGUAAAGAGCUCGUAGGCGGCUGGUCGCGUCGACUGUGAAAUCCCACGGCUCAACUGUGUGGUCUGCAGUCGAUACGGGCUGGCUGGAGUUCGGUAGGGGAGACUGGAAUUCCUGGUGUAGCAGUGAAAUGCGUAGAGAUCAUGAGGAAGACCAGUGGCGAAGGCGGGUCUCUGGACAGUUCCUGACACUGAGACACGAAGGCCAGGGGAGCAAACGGG